rnacentral:rRNA from 1 species
GAGGAAUAAGCAUCGGCUAACUCCGUGCCAGCAGCCCCGGUAAUCGGGGGAUGCAAGCGUUAUCCGGAAUCAUUGGGCGUAAAGCGCCUGUAGGUUGUUUAAUAAGUCUGUUGUUAAAGACUGGGGCUUAACCCCAGGAAACCAAUGGAAACUACUAGACUAGAGUAUGGUAGGGGUAAAGGGAAUUUCUAGUGUAGCGGUGAAAUGCGUAGAUAUUAGAAAGAACACCGGUGGCGAAAGCGCUUUACUGGACCAUUACUGACACUCAGAGGCGAAAGCUAGGGUAGCCAAAGGGAUUAGAUACCCCUGUAGUCCUAGCCGUAAACGAUGGAUACUAGAUGUUGCGCUUAUUGUGCAGUGUCGUAGCUAACGCGUUAAGUAUCCCGCCUGGGGAGUACGAUCGCAAGGUUGAAACUCAAAGGAAUUGACGGGGGCCCGCACAAGCGGUGGAGCAUGUGGUUUAAUUCGAUGCAACGCGAAGAACCUUACCAGGGCUUGACAUACUGCAAAUUUUCUUGAAAGAGAAACGUGCCUUCGGGAAUGCAGAUACAGGUGGUGCAUGGCUGUCGUCAGCUCGUGUCGUGAGAUGUUGGGUUAAGUCCCGCAACGAGCGCAACCCUCGUUUUUAGUUGCCAUUUUAUGGGUUCUCUAGAAAGACUGCCGGUGACAAACCGGAGGAAGGUGGGGAUGACGUCAAGUCAGCAUGCCCCUUAUGCCCUGGGCUACACACGUGCUACAAUGGCUAAGACAAAGAGUCGCGAAUUCGCGAGAAUCAGCUAAUCUCAUAACUUAGCCCAAGUUCAGAUUGCAGGCUGCAACUCGCCUGCAUGAA